GAUGUGCCAGGAGGCUGCUGAGGAGGAACAAUGCCAGGAAUGCUGUUCCGCACUGCCAGAGACAUGCUGGAGCCCAGGUACCAGCUGUUUUUGGAACCCCCAGAUGCACCCCAAAGCCCUGCUAAAGUGGAAAGGGUUGGAAGGUUUGUGGGGUGGGUGCCAAAGCCUAGCCCCCCGUAGCCCCUCAGAGAGGCCAGCAGUAACCCUGGGGCAUCAAGGGCUUGCAGCAGGUUGAGGGCAUAGAGACCAAGGUAGGGGCUGCCCACCAUGGGGACGCAUCCAGCAGAAGAAUCCUAAAUUUAGGGUCCCCCUGACCCUUCCUCGGGCCCGCCGGCAGCUGGAGGCGCAGCGCAGAGCAGGCUUUGCGUGAGCCAGCCAAGAUGUUCAUCGGAGCAGAGGCAUGCAUAAACAUUUUGCUUAAUAAAGGACUCUGGGUGAACACAGUGUACUCUGGCUCCGUGCAGUGGGAACAGCUGUGGCCCUGCGGGGCCAGCGCAGGGAUGUCGAGGCGCGGUGGCAGAGCGACCUCGUAUGGCAACAGCACCGUCAGCGGGCACCCCAAGCCACGGGACACCCCAAAGCAUCCCAACCCUGCACCCAUCCGGCACCUCAGCCCGAUUUUGGGAUGCACAUCGGGAUGCUCUGUCUGAGAGCUGCUAGCAGAGCUUGAGCCAAGGAUGUGGCACAUAAAGCAAAUCUCGCUUUCCAUCACUUGUGGCUUGCUGCAAAUCUGAUUUCCAAGAACGAAAGCAGCCCGGUGCACACUGCUUUUCUGAGAACGCAGCCCCUCCUUGGGGUGAUGGGCUGAAUCCAGCCUGUGCUCCCUCAGAUGGGGUCUUCGGGGGAAAAAGUUCCACUCUGUAGCUCUGGAUACGCGCUCAGCUCGGGUGCGGGGAUCUGGAGCAAUUCCAGGGGAUUCCUCCCUGCACUCGAUGUGCUGCACCGCGGUUAUUCAACGGGCACGGAGCACAGCAGGCAGCCCGGCUCCUGGCGAGCAAACAAGGAGACAUGACAGAAAUGCAGGGCACAGCAUCGCUCAGCGGCGGUAAGGCUCACAGCAGGCACGAAGGGACCCGCGAACUCGGGAACAGACCAGCACAGCUCGGGGGAGGCAAACAGGACACGGUGCCAUCCACCAGCACACGCCUCUCUGCUUCCCACCAUCCACCCCACAGCUCCUUGGCCAAUCGGCGUUACCACACCAUACACACAACGAGCAGAACCACUCCACCUUUCCACACGUUCUUGCUAAUCUCUCGUGUUGAUUUAAGCCGUUGCUAAUAACAAAACGUCUGGGGAUAAUGACAGGCAGAAGUACCAGGGAAGUCAGAACCUGAAUCACGCUUUUCUUCCACCUCGCUGGGUGACACAUAGGGAUGUGUGAGCUCCACUGUAUGUUCCCAAGUUCCUUGCUCUUUGCUGCUUGAUUUUUAAUCAGACUGCAAUUAACCAGCUUCUCAGCGUGCGUAUGGGGCAUCAAGUGCCUGUUGGGUUAAUUUUAGUCAUUGAAAUACAGUCUUCAUUUUGA